GGGCCUAUGGCGCAAUUGGUAGCGCGUAGUAAGUUAUCCUCAUCCAUUACUGGAUUACCAACAUCAUCUAACAUCUUCCGCAGCGACUCCAGAUCGUAAGGUUGUCCGAUCGAGCCGGGCUGGGCUCA